rnacentral:rRNA from 1 species
CCUACGGGUGGCAGCAGUGGGGAAUAUUGGACAAUGGGGGGAACCCUGAUCCAGCCAUGCCGCGUGUGUGAACAAGGCCCUCGGGUUGUAAAGCACUUUCAGUGAGGAAGAACGCCUGGUGGUUAAUACCCAUCAGGAAAGACAUCACUCACAGAAGAAGCACCGGCUAACUCCGUGCCAGCAGCCGCGGUAAUACGGAGGGUGCGAGCGUUAAUCGGAAUUACUGGGCGUAAAGCGCGCGUAGGUGGCUUGAUAAGCCGGUUGUGAAAGCCCCGGGCUCAACCUGGGAACGGCAUCCGGAACUGUCAAGCUAGAGUGCAGGAGAGGAAGGUAGAAUUCCCGGUGUAGCGGUGAAAUGCGUAGAGAUCGGGAGGAAUACCAGUGGCGAAGGCGGCCUUCUGGACUGACACUGACACUGAGGUGCGAAAGCGUGGGUAGCAAACAGGAUUAGAUACCCGAGUAGUC